rnacentral:rRNA from 1 species
GAUGAACGCUAGCUACAGGCUUAACACAUGCAAGUCGAGGGGUAACGAGAGGAAAGCUUGCUUUCCUUGUCGACGACCGGCGCACGGGUGAGUAACGCGUAUCCAACCUGCCCCCAACUAGGGAAUAACCUUGCGAAAGUAAGACUAAUACCCUAUAAUUUCCUAAGAUGUCAUCUGACGAGGAAUAAAGAUUUACCGGUUGUGGAUGGGGAUGCGUCUGAUUAGCCUGUUGGCGGGGUAACGGCCCACCAAGGCAACGGUCAGUAGGGGUUCUGAGAGGAAGGUCCCCCACAUUGGAACUGAGACACGGUCCAAACUCCGACGGGAGGCAGCAGUGAGGAAUAUUGGUCAAUGGGCGGAAGCCUGAACCAGCCAAGUAGCGUGCAGGAUGACGGCCCUAUGGGUUGUAAACUGCUUUUAUACAGGAAUAAAGUUAGCCACGUGUGGUUAUUUGUAGGUACUGUAUGAAUAAGGACCGGCUAAUUCCGUGCCAGCAGCCGCCGUAA